UUUCAGCAGUGGGAUCAGGAAUGGUCAAAUUCGGGAAGGGUGAGACCCAGAGCGGAAUGAACCAGCAGAACAGUCAAGGAAGGAGAAUGAAGGAAGUCCACUCAGCCCUGGCAAGGAGCUUAGUGUUCUCCAUGCCAUCAUAAAAAGCUAGUUGCUCUUCCAAGCUUCACUUUGUUUUGGUCCAGAGAUAGAUCUUAUCACCCAACAGAGCCUAAAAAGGGUUAUAUAAAGAAAGCAGAGAGCACCAUCUCGAGCAGAGCCAAGACAAGAGGCAACUCUUCCUCACUUCUAUUCCUCUCUGCUGACCAAAGGGAGACACCCUGAUUCUGAGCCAUCAUGAAAUGGUCUAUCCUGCUAGCUGUAAUGAUCCUGGUUUGUGCUACAAGAAUUUUGGCUAACGAGGAGAGCCACAUUGAGGACCAGGCUGGCGUCCUAGAUGAUGCCAAUGUCCAGCACAUCUUGAAGCGCCAUACGUCCUCCGGUAACACCAAGGGCAGCAGCAGGAGCGCAUCGGGAGGCUCUGGAGCCAACAGUGCAGGCAGCAUGGGUGCAGAUGAGCCCAAGAUGGAUAAGGACGGAAACAGAAAUUAGGUCUGCUGCUUCAGACAGGUAUGCAGGAAAACGUGCCAUCAUUCAGUGAAGCCACAUAAGACAAGGAGCCAGUGCAACAGAGUAGUCCUCAUUGCAGAUCUUCCUUCGUGGCACCUCAAGCCAGAAUGCAGAAUCCCAGUUUGAUCUAAAAAUCAGUUCCUUUGGACCCCACCCACCAACAUAUCUGAGGACCUUGAUGCUUAUGGAUUCGGUUCAGCUCCAGGUUUUUAGGGAGGGGGAUUGGGGGUUGGGCAGGAAGUCUUGAUUUCAUGCACAAGUCCACUCUGCCCCCCAUCCCAAAAAGCUCUGGAAGGGGUUGAAUUAGAGCCCAUUUCAGGGAAAGAACAUGCAUAGCCAUAACCACAUAACUUGAACCUACACAUUACAAUAGUGGUGGAAAGAGGAGCUUAACAGAAUCUGUAUGACAUCAAGCAAUCUACACACUCUUUACUGUACAAUCCUACAUAGGAAACUAUCCUUAAUAUAACUGCAAAUAAUGAAACAUUCUUUGUUUUAAUUUCUGUUGUGUAACCAAUGAUCAAAGUAUUGAUUGAUUGAUUACCAGAAUGAUGGAAAAGGCUAUUAAUAACUUUGAUGUUUUCAUUUCUUUUCGGCCUUGGCACUCUUUGCUAUAAUCACAUAUAACACAAGUGUAAUGCAAUUUCUAAAGUAUAAGCAAUCUAAAGUAUGAUUUCUAAUGUAUAAGCAAAGUAAUUUAAUUUCUAAAGUAUAAGCAAUCUAUUGUGGCAAGAGGAGAAAAUCUUAAAAAAAACUUCGAUUGAUGUUUUGUUUUCACA